rnacentral:lncRNA from 1 species
CAUCAUAAAAAAUUUUAAAACAUUGCUUUUACCUAAUCCAGAAGAUCCUAAAGGGGAAAAAAUGCUCCUGCAAGACUAUGGUGAUCUCUAUUCUCCUGAUUUCCUGUCCGUCGGCAGCUCCUCCUGUCUGUCCCCGCAGUUAAAUUGGGACUAGGGCUGGUGGGGUGCCCUGGAUGUCCCCAACCUGGGGCCUCGGGCUGGAGGCCACCAGGCUGGGUGACAAGGUGCCAGUGCCACCUUGUGGCAGCUGCUUCAGGGUCCCCGUGCCACAAGCACCUGCUCCUUCCCCAGGACAACCUUGGGAUUCCUGGGACCAGGGCAGCCGGGCUUGUCCCCACAGAACCCACAGCUCCAAGCUUGAUGGUGUCCCCUUGGGACCUAUGGCUUCAGGCUGGUUGGUGUCCCCUUGGGACCUACAGCUUCAGGCUGGUUGGUGUCUCCUCAGACCCAUGGCUCCGGGCUGGUUGGUGUCCCCUUGGGACCUAUGGCUCUGCAAUGGUUGGAGUCUCCUCAGCACAUGGCUCUGGGCUGGUUGGUGUCCCCUUGGGACCUACGGCUCUGGAAUGGUUGGUGUCUCCUCAGACCCAUGGCUCCAGGCUGGUUGGUGUCCCCUUGGGACCUAUGGCUCUGGAAUGGUGUCUCCUCAGACACGUGGCUCUGGGCUGGUUGGUGUUCCCUUGGGACCUAUGGCUCCGGGCUGGUUGGUGUCCCCUUGGGACCUAUGGCUCUGGAAUGGUGUCUCCUCAGACACGUGGCUCUGGGCUGGUUGGUGUUCCCUUGGGACCUACGGCUCUGGAAUGGUUGGUGUCUCCUCAGACACAUGGCUCUGGGCUGGUUGGUGUCCCCUUGGGACCUACGGCUCUGGGCUGGCUGCUGUCUCCCAUGGGAGCCAUGGCUCUAGGCUGGUUGGUGUCCCCUUGGGACCUACGGCUCUGGGCUGGCUGGUGUCCCCAUGGGACCCACAGCUCCAAGCUGGCUGGUGUCCCCUUGGGACCCACGGCUCCAGGUUGGCUGGGUGUCCCCAUGGGACACGCCAUGGGACCCAUGGCUCUGGGCUGGUUGGUUGUCCCCUUGGGACCCAUGGGGUCUUGGCUGGUUGGCUGUCCCUAUGGGACCCAUGGCUUCAGGCUGGUCCGGUGUCCCCUUGGGACCCAGGGCUCCAGGCUGGCUACUGUCCCCCAUUCCCAUGGCUCUGAGGUGGCUGGUGUCCCCUUGGGACCCUUAGUUCCAAGCUGGCUGGCUGGUGUCCCCACAUGGGACCCGUGGCUCCAGGCUGGCUGGUGUCCCCAUGGAACCCAUGGCUCCAGGUCAGCUUGAAGAGCUCAACCUCGGCAGAGGG